rnacentral:rRNA from 1 species
GACGUAGGGCGCGAGCGUUGUCCGGAUUUAUUGGGCGUAAAGAGCUCGUAGGCGGCUUGUCGCGUCGACUGGUGAAAACCCGACGGCUCAACUGCGGGCCUGCAGCCGAUAGCGGGCAGGCUAGAGUUCGGUAGGGGAGACUGGAAUUCCUGGUGUAGCGGUGAAAUGACGCAGAUAUCAGGAGGAACACCGGUGGCGAAGG